rnacentral:sRNA from 1 species
CCCAGCAUGGCUAGAGUGGAGAGACAGGGGUGGAGCGACAGGAGGUGGACAGAGAAAGGUAGCUGGAGGGAGAGAAGAGGGCAUAUGGAAUACAGCUUUGGAGACCACAGUCAGAAUAAUGUCCCUUAUCACUCAGAGCCAAAAUCCUCACUGUGGUCUCCAAAGCUGUAUUCCAUAUGCCCUCUUCUCUCCCUCCAGCUACCUUUCUCUGUCCACCUCCUGUCGCUCCACCCCUGUCUCUCCACUCUAGCCAUGCUGGGCUGCUUGCUCUUCCUCUGCCAG